rnacentral:lncRNA from 1 species
GUGCCAUCCAAAUCUGAUUAUAGUCCGCAAAAGCAUCCAUAAAGCUUAAGAGUCGGUAUCCCAAAGUCGCAUCAACUAGUUGGUCGAUCUUUGGUAAAGAAAAACUAUCCUUUGGACAAGCUUCAUUUAGAUUCGUAUAGUUGAUGUAGAUUCUCUAUUUUUCAAUGGCUUUUCUCACUAUCACUAUAUUGACGAGCCAAUCGGAAUAAUUGACUUCCCUGAUGAAGCCAGCCGUG